rnacentral:rRNA from 1 species
ACCUGACGCAGCGACGCCGCGUGCGGGAAGAAGGCCUUCGGGUUGUAAACCGCUUUCAGGAGGGACGAGGCCACUCGGGUUAAUAGCCUAGAGGGUGACGGUACCUCCAGAAGAAGCCCCGGCUAACUACGUGCCAGCAGCCGCGGUAAUACGUAGGGGGCUAGCGUUGUCCGGAUUUAUUGGGCGUAAAGAGCGCGUAGGCGGCCGAGUAAGUCCGACGUGAAAUCUGGAGGCUCAACCUCCAGCGGUCGUUGGAAACUACUCGGCUAGAGUCCGGAAGAGGAGAGUGGAAUUCCUGGUGUAGCGGUGAAAUGCGCAGAUAUCAGGAAGAACACCGAUGGCGAAAGCAGCUCUCUGGGACGGUACUGACGCUGAGGCGCGAAAGCGUGGGGAGCGAACAGGAUUAGAUACCCUGGUAGUCCACGCCGUAAACGAUGGGUGCUAGGUGUGGGCGGUGUCGACUCCGCCCGUGCCGAAGCUAACGCAUUAAGCACCCCGCCUGGGGAGUACGGCCGCAAGGCUA